rnacentral:tRNA from 1 species
GGAGGGCUGCCCGAGUGGCCUAAGGGAACAGUCUUGAAAACUGUCGCCAGGGGUGACCCUGGCCGAGGGUUCGAAUCCCUCGCCCUCCG